rfam:Hordeum vulgare subsp. vulgare, WGS project CAJW01000000 data, contig: morex_contig_81058
GAUGUACUCCCUCUGUCCCAAAAUUCUUGUCUUAGGUUUUCCUAGACAUGGAUGUAUAUAAAUACUAAAUCGUGACUAGAUACAUUCAUAUAUGGAUAAAUUUAAGACAAUUUUUUUGGAACGGAGGGAGUAGUAU